UACCAUAUUCUCUCAACCCUAACCAAUUUUGAACGCCGUUCGUCCAUGAUUCUUCAUCAGACUUCCAUCAUCAACCUAUUAAUUCGAAAUAUCUGUUCGUUUACUGCGGUGGAUUCUGGGAGUAAGGCCUUCGAGUUUUUGGGUCUGUAAGAUGUUGAAGAUUUUUCAACUCCGUUUGAUCAACCUCCAAUAGUGUUUAGCCAAUAAUUAUGCCAGAAGGUGAAAAACUGGAAGUUUGAUCAUCAGUAUUGCAAAUGGAAGCUUGAUCAUGGGAAGCAAAUGUUGCACGAGAGACAUUAGAAGAAUCGGAAGUAGUGGAAAGAUCAUAUGGUUCAAUAAUGUUGGAGACAUUAACAAUGAGUGAAGAUGGGUAAGAAUAGUGUCAGCAGACACCCGACUGAUGUUUUUUUAUGCUACAUCUGCUCAAGAGCCAGGUGUUAAGGUUUAAUAUUGCUCGUGCAGGGGGUGCAGCCCAUUUGCCAGGCUGAUUUGAAAGAUUUGAUGCUGGUUUCUGCAUAGAUCUUCAUGAUGAUUUGAACUUUUGGUUGGGUUGCAUAUGAUUCUUUUAUGCAGCAUGAUGUUCAAGAACUCAAUAGUGUUCUUUGUGAGAAAUUUGAAGAUAAAAUAAAAGGAACUCUUUUGGAAGGCCCAAUUCAACAAUUAUUGGAAGGCCAUCAUAUGAACUACACUGUGUGCAUAAAUGUAGACUGCAAAUCAACAAGGACGAAAUCAUUUUAUGAAUAUCAUCCAAAAUAGGGCUUGGUCGAUGGUUGAAGGAGCAUACAGGAUGAUUUCUGAGUUCUAAGGUUUGGUCAACGGUUUCAAGACGAAGCUUCUAGGCCAAAUGCUCUAUUAUAUUUUACCAGGAGCAUGACAACACACAUUGGGAGAAGAAUAUUGUUAUAUCACAUGUGUUGAGAAUUAUAUUCUAUUUUGUAGAUACUCAAACCUUUAUUUCAUUAUACACUUUUUCAUUUGUCAAUCGAAACUGAAAUUUUGAGUUAGGGAUUUGAGAUAUAGUUUGUACUUUGAAACCCUAAAUCUAAUUGUGGAAGAUGAAUACUAACCUGGGUAUGUUAGGGGUGUCAAUCCUGCCUGGUUGAAUAUGGGAACCGAACACGACCCAUUUUUUUAUUCUUGUCAAAAAUUUCAACCCUAUCCCGGAUACACAGAA
rnacentral:lncRNA from 1 species